rnacentral:rRNA from 1 species
AUACGUAGGGGGCAAGCGUUGUCCGGAAUCAUUGGGCGUAAAGGGCGCGUAGGCGGAUAUUUAAGUCUGAUGUGAAAACCUAGGGCUCAACCCUGGGACUGCAUCGGAAACUGGAUAUCUUGAGGACAGGAGAGGAAAGUGGAAUUCCACGUGUAGCGGUGAAAUGCGUAGAUAUGUGGAGGAACACCAGUGGCGAAGGCGACUUUCUGGACUGUAACUGACGCUGAGGCGCGAAAGCGUGGGGAGCAAACAGGAUUAGAUACCCUGGUAGUCCACGCCGUAAACGAUGAGUGCUAGGUGUAGAGGGUAUCGACCCCUUCUGUGCCGCAGUAAACACAAUAAGCACUCCGCCUGGGGAGUACGGUCGCAAGACUAAA